UACGAAGGGGGCUAGCGUUGCUCGGAAUCACUGGGCGUAAAGCGCACGUAGGCGGAUUCUUAAGUCAGGGGUGAAAUCCUGGAGCUCAACUCCAGAACUGCCUUUGAUACUGAGGGUCUUGAGUUCGGGAGAGGUGAGUGGAACUGCGAGUGUAGAGGUGAAAUUCGUAGAUAUUCGGAGGAACACCAGUGGCGAAGGCGGCUCACUGGUCCAUUACUGACGCUGAGGUGCGAAAGCGUGGGGAGCAAACAGGG
rnacentral:rRNA from 1 species